rnacentral:rRNA from 1 species
GGGGAUAACUACUGGAAACGGUAGCUAAUACCGCAUAACGUCGCAAGACCAAAGAGGGGGACCUUCGGGCCUCUUGCCAUCAGAUGUGCCCAGAUGGGAUUAGCUAGUAGGUGGGGUAACGGCUCACCUAGGCGACGAUCCCUAGCUGGUCUGAGAGGAUGACCAGCCACACUGGAACUGAGACACGGUCCAGACUCCUACGGGAGGCAGCAGUGGGGAAUAUUGCACAAUGGGCGCAAGCCUGAUGCAGCCAUGCCGCGUGUAUGAAGAAGGCCUUCGGGUUGUAAAGUACUUUCAGCGGGGAGGAAGGUGUUGAGGUUAAUAACCUCAGCAAUUGACGUUACCCGCAGAAGAAGCACCGGCUAACUCCGUGCCAGCAGCCGCGGUAAUACGGAGGGUGCAAGCGUUAAUCGGAAUUACUGGGCGUAAAGCGCACGCAGGCGGUCUGUCAAGUCGGAUGUGAAAUCCCCGGGCUCAACCUGGGAACUGCAUUCGAAACUGGCAGGCUGGAGUCUUGUAGAGGGGGGUAGAAUUCCAGGUGUAGCGGUGAAAUGCGUAGAGAUCUGGAGGAAUACCGG